AGGUUGAGACAGAGAACAUGGGACACAUGGGACCAGGUUGGUGAAGGGGAGAGGAUGUACGUGGGUGGAAGAGAAGGAACGAUUAAGCGAGGGCGAGUUGUUGCUCACAGUUUCAGAAAGUUUAGUGAAAUUAGAUGCAUUCCUGCAUACUAAUGCCUACAACGGCGGCUUACCUGGACUCUAGAGUCAGUCUGAGAUGACUGGACAGGAAGGAGGCAAAGGUUUUGUUGCAGCAGUGCGACCGAGCCCAGUCACGGUUGAGGAAUGCAGAGCGGAGGACAAGGCGAGUUUCAACUCCUCUCCCGCUCCACACAGCCCAAAGCAGGAAUGUACGGGGAGCAGGUAGAGACACCGUCCUCCCAGGAUGUUCAGAUGCACAGGCUGCUGCCCCCUCGAGCCACGCAUGCCACCCACCCCAACGCAUUCCCCUUUCACCGUCUGUCAGGGAACAGGAACGCAGCGUCAAGCAGCCACAUUUCACACAAUGCAUGGUGCUGAUGGAUAGGUUGAUGGCAGUGAUGGUGACAAACAACACUGACAAACAAGCAAAGAUCUUCCCCGGGAGGCCCGAGUG